GAGGGAUGGAGAGAGCAGGAAGAUUAAUGUCAUCGUGGAGUUGGACAGCAAGGCUUCUUUAACACGAUAAAUAUUGCAUGAAGUGCUGAUGUAACCUUUACUGCAGCAUGACAUGGGAUUUGGCUGUUCUGAUGGCU
rnacentral:miRNA from 1 species